rnacentral:misc_RNA from 1 species
GUGUUGAAAACCCCAGAUGGAUCUACACCAAAGCAGUAUCGUUGUUGUUAUUGGGAACCAUUAUUGCCGCUGUAUUUGCAGAUCCUCUGGUGGAUGCUGUUAACAAAUUUUCUGUUGCAACAAGUAUUCCUAGUUUCUUCAUCUCUUUUAUUGCACUCCCCUUGGCCAACUCUAGUGACGCUGUGUCAGCAAUCACCUUUGCUAGCAAGAAGACAGUCAGAACUGCUUCCUUAACAUUUUCUCAGCUAUAUGGAGCAGUAACCAUG